UCUACGGGAGGCAGCAGUGAGGAAUAUUGGUCAAUGGACGCAAGUCUGAACCAGCCAUGCCGCGUGCAGGAAGACGGCCCUAUGAGUUGUAACCUGCUUUUGUACGAGGGUAAACGCAGAUACGCGUAUCUGUCUGAAAGUAUCGUACGAAUAAAGAUAGGCUAACUCCGUGCCAGCAGCCGCGGUAAUACGGGGGAUUCAAGAGUUAUCCGGAUUUACUGGGUUUAAAGGGAGCGUAGGCGGUCGGAUAAGUUAGAGGUGAAAUCCCGAGGCUCAACGUAGGAAUUGGCUCUGCUACUGGUCGGCUAGAGAGUAGUGGCGGAAGGCGGAAUGUAUGGUGUAGCGGUGAAAUGCGUAGAGAUCAUACAGAACACCGAUGGCGAAGGCAGCUUACCAAGCUACUUCUGACGUUGAGGCACGAAAGCGUGGGGAGCAAACAGGAUUAGAUACCCCGGUAGUC
rnacentral:rRNA from 1 species